CAAAAUAAAAAACAGAAAAGGCCUCUAAACCUUAGAUCCGCUAAAUCCCAUGGCUACCAAAUCAGCGGCCGUCGACCUCUCCUCCUCCGACACCCCAUCCAAACCCCCACCCACUCCACUUCCGAUCCCCGUCAAUCCGGAGACUCCGACCACCGCCACCCCACGCCAAACUGAACCGCGUCCCACCUCUGACGCCUACGUCAUCCACGUCCCCAGCUAUUCCAGCUGGUUCUCGCCGGACCACAUCCACCACUGCGAGGUCCGAUUCCUCCCCGAGUUCUUCGACUCUCGAUCCCCUUCCAAAAGCCCUAGCCUCUACAAGUACUAUCGCAACACCAUCGUCAGCCAAUCCAGGGCCGUCAACCCUUCUCGGAAGCUCACCUUCACGGAGGCCCGCAAGGCUCUCGUCGGCGACGUCGGCUCCGUUAGGAGGGUUUUUGAUUUCCUGGAGGCGUGGGGUUUGAUCAAUUACACUCCUUCCGCACCCAACAAGCCCCUCAGGUGGGAGGACAAGGACAGCAGCAAGGCCGCCGCUGCGUCCUCUAAUGGCGGCGCUGAAUCCCCCGCUGGCGGUCCCCAAGGACGGGUCUUCCGGGACCAACAAGGAGAGCCCAAAGAAGAGGACCUGCAAUGGCUGCAAGUCUGUUUGCAGCAUUGCCUGCUUUGUUUCCGAAAAGAAUGACAUGACCCUAUGUGCAAGGUGCUAUGUUCGCAGCAACUAUCAGAUCGGCAUAAGUUCUUCCGAUUUCAGGCGGGUUGAAAUCAAUGAAGAGAUGGGGAGUGGCUGGGCUGAUAAAGAUACUCUGCAUCUUCUAGAAGCCCUUAUGCAUUAUGGCGACGAUUGGAGGAAGGUUGCGCAGCAUGUCGGGAGAAGUGAGAAGGAAUGUGUUGCUCAUUUUCUCAUGAUUCCUUUUGGCGAGGAGUUUACUGGGGAUCUGGAUUACAAGCAGACUAGUGGAAUGAAGGAAGAUGCAGCUGAUGCUGAAUCUGGAUUGGAGGGUGAUGGUGAUGGUGACGGUACAACACCGUCCUUAAGUAAAAGAAUGCGUCUCACGCCUCUUGCGGAUGCAAGCAACCCAAUUAUGGCUCAGGCCGCCUUUCUGUCAGCACUGGCGGGCGUACAGGUUGCAGAGGCUGCUGCUUCUGCUGCCGUAACAACCCUGUGUGCGGCGGAUUAUGAAACAAGUAAAAUGAGUGUUCCAUCUCUGGCUUCGAGCGCAAGACAGCAUGAAGCCGAUGCUGAAUUAAAUGGAGACAAUAAAACUGACCUGGAUGCACUGGGGGCAGCUUUUGUAGAUUCAAAUUCACAGCUUGAGAAGGAAUGGCUGGAUGUGGGAAGAUCAAUAUCAGGGAUUACAGAAGUACAGCUGAGAGAGAUCCAGAAGAAGAUUAUUCGCUUCGAGGCGUUGGAUUUGCAGAUGGAGAAAGAAUGGGAACAACUGGAGCAAAUGAGAAGCAUGCUCUUCGUCGAUCAGAUGACGCUUUUGUUCAACAAAAGUUCUGCUCCAAAAACUACAGAAGGGGCGGAGGAGAAGAAUGUAAAAGCGAAUUGAUUUUCCAUCAUUCGCGUAUGUUUAUCGUUGCCUCAAUGCAAGUUCGACACAUUUGAUAACCUUAAGCUCAAUUUAUAACAAGCAUUUUUAAUGUUAUG